rnacentral:ncRNA from 1 species
AUCUUCAGGGCGAGGUGAAAGUCCUCACUGGCGGUAACGCAAAGGUAAAACGCAUACGUAAGGCGGCUAUCAAUGCGAAGCCCGCGACCCCGAUUGUUUUUUGAUUAUUGCAGUGCUUGUUAGUGAUGCAAAUAAGAGAUAAGCAAUUAGGCUGAUUCGGUGAAAAUCCGAGGCCAACGGUUACAGUCCGGAUGGAAGAAGAUG